AUACCGGUCGGCGACGCUACUGCUUUGGGUACUUUCAGGACCCGUCUUGAAACACGGACCAAGGAGUCUAACAUGUGCGCGAGUCAUUGGGUUAUCGUUAAAAAUGAUCAAGCCUAAAGGCGCAAUGAAAGUGAAGGUCGUCCCUCGAGGACGGCCGAGGGAGGAUGGCCCGGGGUUCUAAACAAGUCCCGGGCUCGCACUCCCGGGGCGUCUCACCGUCAUUACGACGCGAGGCGCACCCAGAGCGUACACGUUGGGACCCGAAAGAUGGUGAACUAUGCCUGGUCAGGACGAAGUCAGGGGAAACCCUGAUGGAGGUCCGUAGCGAUUCUGACGUGCAAAUCGAUCGUCGGAACUGGGUAUAGGGGCGAAAGACUAAUCGAACCAUCUAGUAGCUGGUUCCCUCCGAAGUUUCCCUCAGGAUAGCUGGCACUCGCUCGAUAGGCGAGUCUCAUCUGGUAAAGCGAAUGAUUAGAGGCCUUGGGGCCGAAACGACCUCAACCUAUUCUCAAACUUUAAAUGGGUGAGAUCUCUGGCUUGCUUGAACGUUGAAGCCAAGAGAUGACGGAUCAGAGUGCCAAGUGGGCCAAUUUUGGUAAGCAGAACUGGCGCUGUGGGA
rnacentral:rRNA from 1 species